rnacentral:piRNA from 1 species
UACAAAUAUGGGCCCCUGGAAAAUGAACGA